AAAUAAAAAGUUGAACUGCACAGUC
rnacentral:piRNA from 1 species